rnacentral:rRNA from 1 species
CCGGCGACCGGCGCACGGGUGAGUAACACGUAUGCAACCUGCCCUCUUCAGGGGACAACCUUCCGAAAGGGAGGCUAAUCCCGCGUAUAUCGGUUUCGGGCAUCCGAGAUCGAGGAAAGAUUCAUCGGAAGAGGAUGGGCAUGCGGCGCAUUAGCUAGACGGCGGGGUAACGGCCCACCGUGGCGACGAUGCGUAGGGGUUCUGAGAGGAAGGUCCCCCACACUGGUACUGAGACACGGACCAGACUCCUACGGGAGGCAGCAG